GAUCCUGGCUCAGAAUCAACGCUGGCGGCGUGCCUAACACAUGCAAGUCGAACGAGAAAGUGGAGCAAUCCAUGAGUAAAGUGGCGACCGGGUGAGUAACACGUGACUACCUGCCCUUGAGUGGGGGAUAACUCCGGGAAACCGGGGCUAAUACCGCAUAAUAUCGAAAGAUCAAAGGAGCAAUCCGCUUUUGGAGGGGGUCGCGGCUGAUUAGCUAGUUGGUAGGGUAAUGGCCUACCAAGGCAAAGAUCGGUAUCCGGCCUGAGAGGGCGCACGGACACACUGGAACUGAAACACGGUCCAGACUCCUACGGGAGGCA
rnacentral:rRNA from 1 species